AAGGGGCAGAUCCGCAAAAUGGCUGUCAAGACGAGUUUAAUAUGUUUGACAUCCUUGCUUUUGGGGGUUUUGAGGGAACAGUUUGUCAUGGCGGCAGAUCCCGCGGUCCUAGAGCCUGCAAUCGAGAAGGAAGAAGAGCAGCAGGUUAUACAGACGCAUAAAAUCGACAGCUCCACCAUUUUGAUGUUACUAGGUCUUCUGCUGCUAACUAUCCUCACAAUCUGGUUCUUCAAAUUCCGCCGCUUCCGUUUUGUGCACGAGUCGGGGUUGUCGAUGAUUUACGGUAUGAUAGUUGGAGUGAUCAUCAGGUAUGCCAGUUUCAAACCUGAUACAAAGCCACCACAUGUUAAGAUUGUAGAAAGUGGAAAUGUGUCAUACUCCACUAGCAAGGCUCCGGAGUCUGUGUUGCUGGAUCUGAAAGGUCAGAGGAACGGGUCUAUAACCGUGCAAUACAACAUCUGGGGCGAAGUCAGCGAGGAAGAACAACAGCUGUCACAACUUGUUAUGGCUGUGACCUUUGAUCCAGAAUUAUUCUUUAAUGUUCUUCUGCCAUUUAUUAUAUUUGAGGCAGGUUACAGCAUGAAAAGGAGACAUUUUUUCAGAAAUUUGGGUUCCAUUAUGGCAUUUGCUUUUGUUGGUACGACGAUUUCCUGUGUAGUUGUGGGAGGAAUCAUGUAUGGUGUGACGAGACUGAUGGAUAUUUCCUUCACACUCAAUGACUGUUUCUUUUUUGGAGCAAUAAUCUCAGCCACAGAUCCAGUGACUGUGCUGGCCAUUUUCAGCGAUUUAAAGGCUGACGUAGAUCUGUUUGCUUUCAUAUUUGGGGAGAGUGUAUUAAAUGAUGCAGUCGCCAUAGUUCUCUCAGGGGCAGUAGAAACGUACGGCUCCUCCGCGUCUAAGUCCGGAGAAUCUAAGGGUUUCAGUGUUCAUGCCUUCUUCUCCUCCCUGGGAAACUUCGUCGGGAUAUUUGCCGGGGCAUUUGCAAUAGGAUCACUGAUUGGAUGUUUCACAGCACUCUUAACGAAGUACACGAAGAUUCGAGAUUUCCCUCUCCUGGAAACGGCCAUGUUUUUCCUGAUGUCGUACAUGUCUUUUCAGGCCUGCGAGGCUGCAGGGCUGACAGGAAUUGUAGCAGUGCUAUUCUGUGGAAUUACGCAAGCCCAUUACACAUAUAAUAAUCUGUCAGUAGAAUCGAAACUCAGAACAAAACAGCUGUUUGAAUUGAUGAAUUUUCUGGCAGAGAAUUUUGUCUUCCUGUAUAUAGGAGUGGCAGUUUUCACAUUCCAUUCACAGGAGUGGAACAUUUUAUUUAUCUUAUCAGCCAUUAUGGCUAUUUUUAUCGCAAGAUUUUUCAACAUCUAUCCAUUGUCACUUUUACUAAACUUAGGAAGAAAAAACAAAAUCACCCGACCAUUCAUGCAUAUGAUGAUGUUUUCUGGAUUAAGGGGUGCUAUAGCAUUUGCGCUGGCCAUAAGAAACACAGCUACAGAGGCUCGUAAGUUGAUGGUGUCGGCAACCAUGAUCAUUGUCAUCGUCACGGUGAUACUUGGUGGUGGUCUCACUACGCCGAUGUUGGGGUGGCUGCAGAUCAGAGUGGGAGUGGAAGAGGAGAAAGAAAUGACAAAUUUUGCUAGUCCUUCAGGGCAGGAGAAUGGAAGAAAAGGAAAAUGGCAAAGACAGUACAGCACCAUGGAAAACAUGAGGGACGAUUCUCAAUCACAGACGCAAGAAGAUAGCAACUCACAACAAGUUUUACCUUUGUUGAAGGGCAAUGCGGAGGAAACAGAAAGUAAGAAGAGAGACAAGGCCUAUCUUGUGGGGAAAUGGCACAAUUUCGAUGUCAGAAUAUUAAAACCAAUUUUAACUCACAGUCGACCAACACUGAUGGAAACAUUACCGGCUUGUUGUAUGCCGCUUGCCAGAUUAUUAACAACAGAGGAACAGAUGGCAGAGGGUAGGUCACACAUUGAGGAGGAUUCCGAUACAGACAUGAUAAUUGACCACAGAGAGCUGUCCAUUGGUGAGGGAAGCAGUAGUAAUAUAAGCGCUGCCGCCACCCCACAGCCAGACUUCCAGCAAGUCGAAAUUCACAAUCCAGCCAAUCAGGUGGAUGUUCAUAAUUUUCCAAUUGACCUUCAUACUCAAACUUCCUCUGUCUCAAGUGAUGAUCAACCUUUGACCCCAUGACCUUGACCUUAAUGCCUCAAACUUUCCUCUGAAAAUGCUACAAAUGCACUGCAAGUAAAGGAAGUGGGUUCAGAGGGAGGGGGUGUCUAUCAACAGAAGAACAUUUGUGUGAAUAUUCCAGGGUCCUCUGGAGACAGAGUUUGAUCACAAGGAAAGACAACUUUUCCAUCAUUACUGGUGAAUCUUAAGCACUUGGAGGUCAAAAUGUUUUUUUGGUAGAUAUUUGAAUUUGUUUUAAUUUAUGCACUAGAGGAAGUUAUUCUUUCAUCUGGAGCUGGUGAUGCAGGGCGUUUUGUGCCUCAGGUACAUUGCAUUGGUACACACAUGCCAAUAGAACACAGGCCGGUCCAGAUCGGAUUGCAAAACCUUGAACAAUUUUCAUUUAAUUUAUAGAUUCUUGGAAGGAAAAUAUUCCAACCGCUUUACCUGAUGUCUGUUUUGCUUGGCAGCAAUUUCAAAGUUAUAAUGGCCAUAAUGAUUGAAUUUAAUUCAUAUAAUUCAGAUGCAUGUUUUUCUUUUCUUCAUCUGUUUAAAGUUGUGAAAUGUCCAUUCCAUAUUUGUUGUGACUGGCUUUCAUGUGCUGCCAGAGUGUUUAUAUUGAACAAAAUAUUGAGUGACAGAACGGAAAAUGAUGGCCGUUGUCCAAUCCAGUCCACGCCCCUGCCCUGUGAUUUACUGAUCCUGACGUAUGUAGAUGUAUUGGAUGUGAGGUGUUCAGUAUGUACUUCUCGUCGUUAUGAACCAUGUCAUGUGGUCAGAUCGAACCCUUCUCGUCGUUAUGAACCAUGUCAUGUGGUCAGAUCGAACCCUUCUCGUCGUUAUGAACCAUGUCAUGUGGUCAGAUCGAACCCUUCUCGUCGUUUCUAUUUUAAAGUUGCUGGAGUUUAAAACUUGUAUUCACUCUUCCUCAGAUACUGAGGAUUUUCCAUUUACAUAUACUUGUACUUGCAUAUGUAUUUUGUAUGAAUUGUUUGAUUGCAAUGUUUAAACACUUCUUUUAAGAUCUGUUACUAAAUGUACAUUAGUGCAAGUACCUAGCUUAAUUAUAUGUACAUGUAACUUUGUAGGUGUAAGCCAAAAAUUAAGAUGAACACACUUUGAGUAUAGUACUGUGUAUGAAGUAUAGAGGUACUGAUACAUGUACAUGUGUAUCAUACAAUUUUUUAAUGAUUGAUGUUUGAUUUUGUUAAAGGGACACAGAUUCAAGUUUUGUUUUUCACUUUUAAUGAUAAAAAUCCACUGUGUUUUAAAGGUUUCACAAAAAAUUAAGGUUAUACAAUAUAUCGCAGAAGCUUAUUUUAGGGAGUUUAUUAUUUGUUUUGUAAACCAUGACUGUGUGGUAUGUUAUUGUUUACAAAGUUUUCAAAAGAAAUGGAUAUCGAUCUAAGUUUAUUUUAUCUAUCACAUUUCAAGUAUCAUUUAGGUAAUAUGUGUCAUCUGAAAGUUAAAUUUGUGACUGCUCAAAAUUAAGAUGCUGUAAAUUACAAAAUUAACAUUUCACUGGUUUGUUUGUAAACAUAAAAAGACCUGAGUCUUGGUUUACAUAACACAGAGGUAUUAGGCUAAAACAUUGCUCAUAUCCUUGCUUUCAAGAAGGUCAAAAUUUUGGCUAUCAACAUUAAUGAAUGGAAUUUUUAAUUUUUAUGAAAAACAUUUAAAAAAAAUAAAAUAAAAAUAACCUUGAACCAGUCCCUUUAAGGAGAAUUACAGAUUUACAUGUAGCAAUGUUUGAUUAUGUUAAUGAGUAUGUUAAUGAGGUCAUCAUUGAAAGAGAAUUGAUAAUGGUACACGACCACUAUUUGUGUUGUUGUUGCCAAUUGUUUUUGAAGGAUUCAUAACAUAUUUUAAGCAAUUAUUAUGAUACAAAUUAUUUCUCUCGUCCAAAUGUUCAUUCUUCAAGUCAAACAGUAUUAUCUAUCGAGCAGAGUUGUUCCGGAAUAUGUUUUAAAACCGUGUGCAUGUACAUGUUGGCAGUACCUAUAUUGAUAGUUUCCUUGGAAAUGGUUUCCUAAGGAUAGGAUACCCAAAACAAUUUGUUAUCGAAUUUUGUAGAACUAUUUAAAUGUUUUGAUAUUGCUAAAAAUCCAUAUUUACCACAAAGUUAUCCUAUGAAACCACCUUCAUUUUUGUAUUAUUCACAAAUCUUUUAUUGAAAAUUAUUGGAAAAAUAUUACCCAAAAAUUCAAAUUCAAAAAUGUCUUUAUUGGUGCAUUUUAUGUAUUAAUGACCAAGUACGUUGUUUGAUCAAAUGAUAGAAAUCUUCACAAAAAACAGCUAACUCUACUUAAUUUGAUGCAUUUAAAAUCUUGGGCAUCCUAGACCUUAUAGAAUGCAGGGCAAAACGUUUAUAUAAAACACAGAAACUGUAAUACAUAAACAAAUAUUAUGUAUUUGUGAUUCAUUUGUGUAAAGAAUUGAAGGUGAUAUUUGAAAGUGAUAUUUGCCCAAACUUAUAAUUUCUUUAUUUACAGUGGAUAAACCUUGUACAUGUAGGUGUGGUUAGCUUAGCUAGUGCAUGUACACCGACACUGUCGUUAUUGAAUGGUCAGUUGUGAUAGAUAUUGCAUGCAUUCCCACAUACAUGUAGAAUCAUAAUGUUCCUAAAGGAAACAUUUUUGUAAUAUCUUAAUUGCCAGUUUUUGUGAGUUUUUUUUUUUUUAUUUGUUUGCUAAUUAUCUUUGUGAUAGUGUCAAAAUGUUACAUAAUCAUGCCAGCAAAUUAAAUAAUGGCAGAAUUGUGGGUAUAAGAAUUCUCAUUUAAUUUUCAUUUAUACUUGACCUAUGUGUAAGGUUGAUGUUUAUUCACUUUGAUAUAUACAUAUAUUAUUGUAUAUCUCUUUAUACAAAAUUUUAUUUAUAUAUAGUAUGCAUGGUGAUUAAGAACAUUUACCCACAAUAAAUGUGUAUGUGUAAUGCCCCCACCCCCUUUAUACAAUGUAAACACAUGUUUAUUUUAUAUCUCUAGUAUGAUGAAAACAAAAAAAUAAUGACAUACAGAUUGAUCAGUCCAUCAAGUAUAACUUGAAAGUCACAAAUAAUUUACAUAUACUUCUCUUGAAAAGUCUCUUUAAAAUAUUUCAAUACAAAUCCAUCGCCCUUCUUUCUAUAGAUUUUCAUGAACUUUGUAUCUGAUUGUUGAGAUCCUCGAUUUGCAUUGAUGUAUUUAAUUUAGUUGAACCAGUGGUUUAGUUACAAUAUUUAGCCAGAUUGUUGGAGAGGUCAGUGUUUGAAUGCACAAGGUCAAUUCAUCUUUCAACAUAUUCAACAAUUACAUUCACUCUCAUAAGUUACAUUCACCACCAAGAAUUACAUUUCCCAUAUACAAUAUUACAUUCACCAUCAAGAAUUAGAUUUCCCAUAUACAAUAUUACAUUCACCAUCAAGAAUUACAUUUCCCAUAUACAAUAUUACAUUCACCAUCAAGAAUUACAUUUUCAGUUAACAAUCAUAUUCACUAUAUACAGUUACAUUUACCAUUAUAUACAGUUACAUUUACCAUUAUGUAAAAUUGCAUUUACCAUUAUGUAAAAUUGCAUUUACCAUAAUUUACAGCUAACAGAUAACAUAUUCAUUUAUCGUAGAAAAUUACAUUUUCACAGUUAACAAUCAUAGUUACUGUCAACAAUUCUAUAUCUACCAUAUACAGUUACAUUUAACAUAUUCAAUUGCAUUUACCCUAGACAAUUACAUUUACUGUAAAUAAUUACAUUAACUGUAUAAAAUUACAUUAAGAAUUAGUUUAAACAUAUUUUAUUGAAAAACUCAAUAGGAUCGGGCAACAGGCAUAGCCUAUGUAAGCCCUCUCCCAAAUACAAAGAUAUGAUUGAUAAACUGGAUUCUUUGAAGAUGUGACAGUAUUGUAAUGAGGUUUACAUGAAAAUAGUUAAUACGAGUUUUGCAGAAUUUUGCUAUGAAGUGAUUUUUUUUUUAGAUCAACAUGUUAACUUUGCCAAUUUUUAUCAAUACAUCAAGAAUUACAUUUACUGGUAGCUUAUUGCACAUACAUGUAGUUUUACCUAAUUAUCAAUUAAUUUUAUUUGUUUGGUAAAUUGUAUGCACUGUGUAGUCUGCCUUCUAUCCUUGUUUGCCCAACUCUCUAUACUGUAUAGCUUAUAGGUCACAGUUCAUUAUCUUUACCGUUAUAGGAGUUAAGAGAUUGAUCACUGUUCGUUAUCUUCACCUUUAUAGGAGUUAAGAGAUUGAUCACUGUUCGUUAUCUUUACCUUUAUAGGAGUUGAGAGAUUGAUCACUGUUCGUUAUCUUCACCUUUAUAUGAGUUAUGAGAUUGAUCACUGUUCAUUAUCUUCACCUUUAUAGGAGUUAAGAGAUUGAUCACUGUUCAUUAUCUUCACCUUUUAUUCAGUAUGCACUCAGUCUAGUUGUCUCUGGCCUUUGGUUGUGACACACGGUCUCUGAACAGUGUUGUUGAGUUUUAUUAGAAUUCAUGUCUUUCAGUUUUGAACAUAGAACCUGGAUACUUGUUUGUAACAACAUUAAAAAGAAAGGAUUUGAAUGCAUUUCUAUUUCAUCUUGCUUACAAAUUCAGAAGAUUUACAUGUAUUGAUUAAGCCACUGUAAGCUAUCACACAUGGUGUUUUAGUCUAUAUAAUUAUUCAUUAAA